rnacentral:rRNA from 1 species
UACGAAGGGGGCUAGCGUUGCUCGGAAUCACUGGGCGUAAAGGGUGCGUAGGCGGAUUUCUAAGUCAGGGGUGAAAGCCUGAGGCUCAACCUCAGAACUGCCUUUGAUACUGGAAGUCUUGAGACCGGAAGAGGUAAGUGGAACUGCGAGUGUAGAGGUGAAAUUCGUAGAUAUUCGCAAGAACACCAGUGGCGAAGGCGGCUUACUGGUCCGGUUCUGACGCUGAGGCACGAAAGCGUGGGGAGCAAACAGG